rnacentral:lncRNA from 1 species
GAUAAACCCUAGGAAUUUUUCCAGAAAACCUUGUUUGAUCUUCAUUUUCGUUGAUUGCAUGUGCUAUGUUGUUAUUCGCCCAUGUAUUGGACCACGUGUCCUAGGCUUUGAGUGAGCGCGCGCUGGAUUUCAAACGCUUCCUCCCUUCGAUUCUGGUCGAAGGCACUUCCAUUUGGCCUUUUGCAUUUUUAUUCUUUAUGCUAUGCCAUGUUC